UGGGGGAUAUUGCACAAUGGGGGGAACCCUGAUGCAGCGACGCCGCGUGGGUGAAGGAGCGUUUCGGCGCGUAAAGCCCUAUCGGCAGGGAAGAAGAUGACGGUACCUGACCAAGAAGCCCCGGCUAACUACGUGCCAGCAGCCGCGUAAUCGUGCUCU
rnacentral:rRNA from 1 species